AUGCAGAUCACCUGGGGAGCUUGUUAAACCGCAGCUUCUGAUGCAGUGGGCUGGGGCUGGGGCUGGGGCCUGAGAUUCUGCAUGUCUAACAAGCUUUCAGGUGCUGCUCAU
rnacentral:pre_miRNA from 1 species